rnacentral:rRNA from 1 species
GAUGAACGCUGGCGGCGUGCCUAAUACAUGCAAGUCGAGCGAACAGACGAGGAGCUUGCUCCUCUGACGUUAGCGGCGGACGGGUGAGUAACAAGUGGAUAACCUACCUAUAAGACUGGGAUAACUUCGGGAAACCGGAGCUAAUACCGGAUAAUAUAUUGAACCGCAUGGUUCAAUAGUGAAAGACGGUUUUGCUGUCACUUAUAGAUGGAUCCGCGCCGCAUUAGCUAGUUGGUAAGGUAACGGCUUACCAAGGCGACGAUGCGUAGCCGACCUGAGAGGGUGAUCGGCCACACUGGAACUGAGACACGGUCCAGACUCCUACGGGAGGCAGCAGUAGGGAAUCUUCCGCAAUGGGCGAAAGCCUGACGGAGCAACGCCGCGUGAGUGAUGAAGGUCUUCGGAUCGUAAAACUCUGUUAUUAGGGAAGAACAAAUGUGUAAGUAACUAUGCACGUCUUGACGGUACCUAAUCAGAAAGCCACGGCUAACUACGUG